rnacentral:misc_RNA from 1 species
AUAUUAGAGGAUUCCGCUCAUUUACUUCUUUAUUGAUAAGAGAUAUUGGCCAAACCUCGCAUUCACGUAAACAAGUUUUGUUUUUGAAAUUCAGACGAGUUUGUGAAGCGACGAAAAGUGUUUGCUCAACCACUGCUACCAAGCAGCGUACACAAACUAGUUUAAAGGUUUUGACUACGUGGUACGCCACUUUGAUUAAAUUAACCAAUCUUAUAAAAGUGUUUAAUUCGCCUACGUUCUAACACAUUUUAGUUGCUAAUCUCAAUUCUAUUAACUCUCGGUACACCUGUGAUUAUGCACAAAAGGCAAAGCUUCAAAAGCAAUCCGGACUGGGCACAACAAUUUACCACCGACCAAGUUAACAAAAUGCAGUUUAUCGCGCGACGUGUCGCUAUGAAUUUAACUAAAACCGUAUUGGCGUCGUCGUUGAAGACUCCGCUGCCCAGUAUUGCCGCUGCCGUCCAAAAAAGUUUACCCGACGCCCGUUUUUACUCCAUUUCUGAAGGCCCACAAAAACAAAAUCUGUUACGUUAUCCAGCAUUUCCACUAAAAGAUACCUUGGAAACAUUUUUAAAAACCGUCGAGCCGGUGAUCAAUGCUUGCGAACUUGUUGAAACUAAGGAAGCAAUCAAGAAGUUUGAGGCCGGUGAAGGCGCUGAAUUGCAAAAGCUGUUAGAAAAGGCAGCGAUAUGCGAAGAAAAUUGGUUAGCUAAGCGCUGGUUACGUGCAGCUUAUCUGCAAUACCGCGCGCCAGUUACCGUUUUUGUUAGCCCAGGCAUGACAUUUCCACCACAACGUUUUGAAAAUGAUGAAGACUUUCUAAAUUAUGCCGGCAAGGUUGUUUAUAGCAUGGCACGCUAUAAGCAAAUUAUUGAUGCCGGUGAAAUUCCUGUUUUGAAAAUGGGCAAGUAUGAGCUAGACAAUUCGCAAUUCGGCAAAGUUUAUGGCACGUGUCGUAUACCACAGAAGGUCGAAGAUGCACUGGAAUACAAUCCUAAAUCACUGCAUGUAGUGGUGUUGUACAAAAAUCAUUUUUACAAAGUACAAAUCUACAAUAAUAAUGGCGUGGCCUUGCAUCCGGAUAUAUUGGUGAAACAAUUCAAGACCAUUAUGGAAGCUGAAGCUAAAAAGGGUGUGGAAAUUGGCGUUUUAUCCACUGAUAACCGCGAUAAUUGGGCGCAAGCUUAUGAAGAGCUCCUGAAAAUCGAUGGUAACAAGGAACUGGUGAAAACUAUACAAAGUGCCUUAUUUACAGUAUCUUUGGAUGAGUGUUUCGAUGUUGCAGAUGACCAAUUUUUCAAUGAGUUAAGUGGCCAGUUAAUACAUGGCGGUGGAGUAAAGUUAAAUAGCGCCAAUCGUUGGAUGGAUAAAACAAUACAACUAAUACUGAAUCGCAAUGGCAUGAGCGGAUUUUGUUAUGAACACUCACCGGCUGAAGGUCAACCAAUUGCCAACAUCACCGACUAUGUAACCAACAAUUUAUGCAAUGAAAAACACUACGAACAGAGCGCUCGUGAUAACUAUCCUUGCCCCGAAAAGCUUAAAUUAAAAGCCAAUAAAACCUUGAAUCAGUAUAUUGAAAAAUCUAAGAAGAACCUCAAUGAAUUGGCGGAAAAUUUGCACGUAAAUGUUUUGCAUUUCAAGGACUAUGGCAAGGGUUUCUUGAAGAAACAAAAGCACAGCCCAGAUAGCUACAUACAAAUUGCACUACAAUAUGCUUACUACAAGCUACAUAAAGUACCAGCCGCUCAGUAUGAGUCUGCACAUUUGCGUAUUUAUAUAUACGGACGCACUGAGACCAUACGCUCGUGUUCCAAUGAAUCAUUGGCAUUCGCCAAAGCAAUGGAAGACGCUUGCGUUGAGCCAGAGGAACGUGUCGAGCUAUUGCGUACCGCUAUAAAUGCACAUCGUGCAUACACGACAGCAGCAUUACAAGGCAGAGGUGUUGAUCGACAUUUGUUGGGAUUAAAACUCAUGGCUAUUGAGAAUAAUAAACCAAUACCAGAAUUCUUUAACUCGCCUGGUUAUGUAAAGAGUUUAGUCUUUCGUGUAUCUACUUCACAAGUGGCCACACCCAAUCUUGGAUUCAUGGUGUACGGCCCAGCUGCAGACGAUGGUUACGCAUGUUGUUAUAAUCCACGCGAAAAUGAUAUAAUCUUGGCAUGCACCUGUUGGCGUGAUAAUCACACUUCAAACGUGGAUACGUUUGUGUGUACAUUGCGUGAAGCAUUGCUAGAAAUGCAACAACUAUUAGUGGGCUAUGGAAAAGCACCAGCCGCGAAGUUGUAAUGAGUGAUGAGAGAAGUAAAUUCUGAACUGGCAGUGAGAAAUGCGCUGCGCUCGAGGUUUUUUGUUUUGCAAAUAUUAAGUGCCUUCAAGUUUUUUUUUUACAAAUUUUUAUUGAAACCAUUUUCACGCAAAUAAAAAUUCAUUGUGCAACAACAAACUGGAUUUUAUAGCGCAAUUCACCGGCUUCAAUUCAACAUCAUCACCAGAGAAAAGUGACGAGAAUCGGUCAGUAUACAUACCAGGCAUGAGUGG